rnacentral:tRNA from 1 species
GGUCUGGUGGUGUAGUUGGUUAUCACGUCAGUCUAACAGCUCGAGAGCCUCGCCUCUCUCUCUGUCUUGUCUCUGUCACACUGAAGGUCUCCGGUUCAAGUCCGGGCUAGAUCA